ACUAUAUACACAUUUCUUCUCCGUUGCUCUCGGUGAAAGUACUACACGAUAAAAUGGGAAAUGUGCAUUUGUACCGGUGAUUAAUGAAGGAAGCAACAUUCUGAAUACCACAAGCUACUGACAACAAUGAACAUCAACAGUAGCAGCGAUAUUCUCAGAAAUGAUUGACAAGACAAGACAAUAUAAAAUAACAUCAUUUCUUGUAAAAUAAUUAUAUAAAAUCUAUUUAGAAAGAGUUCCUACAAAUCAGA